UUGGAGAGUUUGAUCCUGGCUCAGGACGAACGCUGGCGGCGUGCCUAAUACAUGCAAGUCGAGCGGAGUUUAUCCUUCGGGGUAAGCUUAGCGGCGGACGGGUGAGUAACACGUAGGCAACCUACCCUCUAGACUGGGAUAACUACCGGAAACGGUAGCUAAUACCGGAUAAUUCCUUGACCCUCCUGGGCUAAGGAUGAAAGGCGGAGUAAUCUGCUGCUAGAGGAUGGGCCUGCGGCGCAUUAGCUAGUUGGUGGGGUAACGGCCUACCAAGGCGACGAUGCGUAGCCGACCUGAGAGGGUGAACGGCCACACUGGGACUGAGACACGGCCCAGA
rnacentral:rRNA from 1 species